GGGCGGGCGCAGCCGCUCCCCGCACCCCGCACCAGCGGCGGGGCAGCGCAGCUGGCAUGGUGCUGGCCGCAGCUCGCCGCGCCCGCGUUGCACGGAGGAAGCCCGAGCGGAGCCGCGAUGGAGAUGCUGCUGCCGCCCGUUGGCAGUGCCCAGGCAAUGCACUCCAGGCAGCCAUCUCCAGCUGCAUCUCGGCUGGCCUCCUCAGCCCUUUCACAGGCUCCGGUUCAGUGCAACUUCAUCCUGCGCCUUCGAUGUACCAAACUUUGCCAUCAGAAGCCCUUGGAUCUGAAAGAUGAUAACACCGAAAUUCACUGUCCUAUUACAGUAAAUCCAUGGCACAUGAAGAAAGCUUUUAAAGUUAUGAAUGAAUUAAGAAGUCAAAACUUGCUGUGUGAUGUGACGAUAGUAGCUGAAGACAUGGAAAUUGCAGCGCAUAGAGUUGUGUUAGCCGCCUGCAGCCCCUACUUCCAUGCCAUGUUUACAGGUGAGAUGAGUGAAAGCCGAGCAAAAAAAGUUCGAAUAAAGGAAGUUGAUGGCUGGACUCUGAGGAUGCUUAUUGAUUAUAUUUACACUGCUGAAAUCCAAGUUACAGAAGAAAAUGUGCAGGUGCUGCUCCCAGCAGCUGGUCUCUUGCAACUGCAGGAUGUGAAGAGGACUUGCUGUGAAUUUUUGGAAUCCCAGCUUCAUCCUAUCAACUGCCUGGGGAUUCGUGCUUUUGCUGACAUGCAUGCAUGCACAGAUCUCUUGAGCAAGGCCAACACAUAUGCAGAACAGCACUUUUCUGAUGUCGUACUUAGUGAAGAAUACCUCAAUCUUGGUGUAGAGCAGGUGUGCAGUCUGAUAUCCAGUGACAAACUCACAAUUGCCUCAGAGGAGAAGGUAUUUGAAGCAGUGAUAACCUGGGUAAACCAUGACAAAGAUGUAAGGCAGGAGUUAAUGGCACGUCUGAUGGAGCAUGUUCGGCUCCCUUUGCUUUCUCGGGAGUAUUUAGUCCAGAGAGUUGAAGAGGAAAUACUGGUUAAGAACAGCAGUGCUUGUAAAGAUUACCUCAUUGAAGCUAUGAAGUAUCACUUGCUACCAACUGAGCAACGGGCAUUGAUGAAAAGCACACGGACAAAAUUGAGAACACCUGCUAGCCUUCCAAAAUUGAUGAUGGUAGUUGGGGGACAGGCACCCAAGGCAAUUCGCAGUGUUGAAUGCUAUGAUUUUAAAGAAGAACGCUGGCAUCAGGUAGCUGAAUUGCCUUCCAGAAGAUGUAGAGCAGGAAUGGUGUACAUGGGAGGCAUGGUUUAUGCUGUUGGUGGUUUCAAUGGCUCUUUGAGAGUUCGUACAGUAGAUUCCUAUGAUCCAGUGAAGGACCAGUGGACAAGUGUAGCUAACAUGCAAGACAGGAGAAGCACACUGGGAGCAGCUGUAUUAAAUGGCCUUCUUUAUGCUGUGGGAGGAUUUGAUGGGAGUACAGGUUUGUCAUCGGUCGAAGUUUACAACUUAAAGACUAACGAGUGGUUUCAUGUAGCUCCAAUGAACACAAGAAGAAGUAGUGUUGGCGUAGGUGUUGUUGGAGGGAAGCUGUAUGCUGUUGGUGGCUACGACGGAGCGUCACGGCAGUGCCUUAGUUCAGUAGAAUGCUACGAUGCCAAUUCCAAUGAGUGGAGCUAUGUCGCAGAAAUGAGCACGAGGCGGAGCGGAGCAGGUGAGUGGACAAGGAUCAGCUAGCCUUGCAAAGAUGAAAACUCGUUAAAAUGUAUCUAAGAAUAUGAAAGGUAAGCUAAAGUCUGAAUCUAAUGGAAUGUGCUAGUCCUAGGUGGCUGAUACACAGAAGGUUAUAAGAACAAAACUGUUCCACAGAGUAAGAUUCAGUCUGUUAAGAGUAAAUAUCUCUCUUUGUUUUUUCAUACUUUCAUAUUCCUCCUCGUCCCACAACUUCUGAUAGUUUUCAACAUGCAGACUAAUACUCAUGGAUUGUAACAAUCACUAUCACCUCAAUUCUUAAGUAUCAAAAUUUAUACAGCAAGGAUGAAAAAAUGUCUUUUCUACAGAGAUCUCUUUGCCAGUUAGGGCUGAUUAUUCUAACAGUGUUUUCAGGUUGACUUGUGAACUGUAACCAGGUUUCCACCUCUUUGGAGGACUUGUUCUGCAUUCUGAUUCACUGCAGGAAAUUUUGUCCUUGUUCUUUCCUAAGUUUGUAUUACUGGUUUCAUCCUAUUACUUCCACUUAUGUACCCUUUAUUUCACCUUCAGUAAUUCUUCUCAUCACCUGGUGUUUACAUCCUCUGUACAUGUACAGCCUACUACAUGUUAUCCUUCCUUAUCAUUUAGCAGAGGUAUAUCUAUUUAUUUCUGUAUAAUCUUAAAAUUCCUUUUUUUUUUUUUUUUGUGGAUUUCUUUUGUCCUUCUUGCAAUUCUGAGUGUGUAUAUUUCUCUUUAAAGACACCUUUAAAAGUGCCUGUGGUAUUCCACUUUUGUUAAAUGAAAUUAUGCUUCCACAGCUCCAAAUUGACUUUAGCAUUUUCAUUAUCUAUUAAUAUUAUGGACUUGAAUCUCAUUUACUGUUCACUGUCCUCUAUUUGUCUUUUGGUAUUUCAGGUUUUUUCAACUCGCAGAAGUUGUUUUAUUUCUCUAGAUGUGUUCCCAUGGACUUUUUCAAGUCAAAUUCCAUGAUAUUAUUUUCUACAUUUAUUUUUUAGUAGUUAAGUCACUUUUUUUGCCAAGUGCUUAAUGGUGAUUUUUAGCAACACCCUUCAAGUAUCUACUGGUGAUUGCAUUAAUGUGCUUCAUAAUGGGAAGAGAUAUUGCUACAAAUAAAUCUGAAUGGACUUCUAGUAUGUUCAGUAUAUGAUUAAUAGUUAUCCAAACUUCUCAUCUUACCUUCCAUUAUUCUUUGUUAACUCUGAACAGUUUUUACCUGGAUAAUAAUGUUUAAAUAAGUUCAAAUAAUUUUUAAAGAAAUCUAUCAAAGUACUAAAUUCAUUGCUAAAAUUAAGAUAGUCUGUGAUACUUGCAUCGUAUCCUUACAAGAUCAGCAAGCUGAUUACUCUUAUUACUAAAAGUCAUGUUUUGAUUGUGUUUCUAAACUAAAACUAUGAUGUUAAUGAAGGAAACAUGAUGCACUGUACCUCAAGAAAACACAGUUUUCUUGUGAAACUUCUAGUAACUCAUCCUGUGCUUCUUGGAAGUAACUUCUGGAUUAAAAACUGGACAGAGUUGCAGUAAGGGUACUGGAAAAUAUUCCUGUCUAAUAUUGGCAAAUUUUGAGGAAAAUAUUUAUAUAAAAUGGGCAAGUUACAAGUAUCAUUCUAAAGACAAAUAGUGUUGGUGGGUUGUGACAAAGUUUCAUUUUGCAGUCUGCCUGCAAACACAUUUUGUUUCAGUGAUCGGGGUUUAUUUUUUGAUACUCUGUUUUUGCAAACUGUUGUGCUUGUAGCCUAUUUAUACAGUAGAUGUUUUCAGAUUUUUUUUUAAAUGUUGAAUUUCUUCUACAACUCUGAAAUUUAGUUCUCUAAAUAUACUAACUACUGGGAUCUUCGUGCCCCUCUCCUCUCUCCCCUUGUCCCUUUGUUUGCUUACUCAACUCUGUUCUGCCUUUUUACCUGGUCCACUGAUAAAAAAAAUGGAGAGGAAAACUAAAUGCAGACAGUUAUUCCAGAGUCAUAUAAUUGAGUAAAAUAAUCAACAUUCUUCUGAGCCACUCUGCUAAAUAGAUGAAAAAAAUAUAUUUUUGCAUGGCAGAGGAGUGGGUGGUAAUGUGAAAAUCGUGACUGUUGAUUGAGCUUGGCUGUAGAGGCCAAAUAGCCAAACCCACCAGAACUGUUUCAACUGGCAAUCAGUCCUGGUGGUGUUGCGGGGGCUAGCUAAAGAGAAUUUUGUUCUUGUGUUAAUCUUUUGGAUGUCUGGUCAUCUCCAAGAACUUAAGCUCAUCUCUUCUGUUCCUACUGCUUCAGCUUCACUCAAAAACAACUUUUCAGAGGUUAACACUCAGUUACUCUUCUUUAGUACCCACUGCUUCUCAGUUGAUCAAUACGGGGACAGAUCUGUUUCCAGCAACAUAUUGGGAGGAGGAACUGCAGAUCCAGAUAUAGGCCAUUUGGGAGGGCUGAGAGAUAUAAGACAGGGUCCUGAAAAAUGGGCAGGAAAGAAAAAUAACAAAGAAAGGAGAACUCAGAAGACGGCAACAAGAGGAUACAGACGGAAGGAGCAAGAAAUAAGGUGUUGGUGUGUUAAACAAUUUAUUGUAUGCAGUAGGUGGCCAUGAUGGUCCUUUGGUAAGAAAAAGUGUUGAAGUGUUUGACCCCAUUGCCAGUACCUGGAAGCAGGUUGC